UCGCCUGUUAACAAAAACAUAGCUUUAUGAUUAAUUUAUAUAAAGUUAUCCUGCCCAAUGAAUAAUUAAAUGGCCGCAGUACUUUGACUGUGCUAAGGUAGCAUAAUAAAUUGACUUUUAAUUAAAGUCUAGAAUGAAAGGAUUAAUGGAUAUAUACUGUCUUUAAUAAAUUUAUAUUAAUUUUCUGAAAAGGUGAAAAUUCCUUUAGAUAUAUUAAAAAGACGAGAAGACCCUAGGAGUUUUAAUAAUUUUUGUUGGGGCAACAUUAUAACAAAUAAUUUAUAAUAAUUAUUUUAAAUUAAACGAAAUAUUUUAAUUAUGAAUAAACUACCCUAGGGAUAACAGCAUAAUUUAUUAUAAAGUAAGUUUGUGACCUCGAUGUUGGACUAGGAACUUUAAAUAUUAGUUAUAUUUAUUGGGUUGUUCUGUUCGAACAUUUUAUACCUACGUGAUCUGAGUUCAGACCGGA
rnacentral:rRNA from 1 species